rnacentral:lncRNA from 1 species
CUCUGAUGGGCUCCGGUGAACUCCGAUGGGCUUCGGUCAACUCUGUGGGCUUUGCCAAAUGGCGACGAGCUCAGGCGAACUUCGGCGGUCAGCAAAGCAAACAGUGGCGGUUGGUGGCAGGAGAGAGUUUUCGUGGUGGGUGGUGUUUUUCGGGGGAGGGGAUGGUCCCUACUUUUUUACAUGUAGUGAGAAAAUGGGUUGAGAAAGUGGGGUCUCUGGUUUAGGGGAGGAGGCAAGUAAGGGGAGGGUUGGAGUGAAGUUUUUGCCCCAAAGCCCAAAAGUAGGGGACAAGGGAUGGCUGAAGUUGCUUUGAGGGUAAUGGAAGUCAGAGAUUGACUGGGCUAAUACAAAUUUAUGCAAGGGCGUAAGGGCAUUGUUAUCAAGUUGGCAGCUAAUUGUCAAGCAGGUGGGAGGCUGCUGACUUGUGGUGGCGUAGAAAAAACAUGUAAUGAGAUUUAAUACAAUUUAACCCAAAAUCAGCCCAGUACUACUAUUGCGGCGACCUAAAAAACACUUGAUGAGAUCAACACUGAUUUUACCCAAAACCAAGUAUUAAAUCUUCUAGUGUGUGUCUUCUCUAGCAGCAUUGAGGUGGUGGUGAUGCUCUGCCAAAAAGGGCGUCUUCUCGUGAGGUGGCACUAGCAUGAGAGAUUGCUCUUGCCAUCAAGGCUGUGCCUCAACAAGUGAUCAAACGAACCCAACACGUGUUAGGGGUGAUUCGUGGGGAAGAGGAUUUCAUAUAAGAGGGAAAUAAAAUAUUGAUGGUUAAAUCAUUGUAUUUUUUGUGCUUUAUCAGUCAAAUGGCGUAGUUUGGCAAGCUAUUACUGUUGGGUGUCCUAAAGAAAAUUAUGCAAUUCGGUUAGCAGAUCCAAAAUAUCCGGAAGAGCCAACUUCAUUAUUUUCCUGACGCAGGAUAGAGAUGAAGAGACUUUGCGUUGCCUUGUCUGUUUAUAUUACAAUUUUUUAUGUUGAUGCAUUUUUGUCAGUAUUGUUUUUCUUAAAUGAGCUAGUCCGUGAUAGUGCACCAACUGUUCAUUUCUGUGCUACGAUAUGUUUUGGAAUGAAAAUGUGCUGUGCUUGAUUGUGUCAGUAAUUUUAGCUUGUUUGUUGCCUGUGCUGUAAAGACAGCGCCUGGGCAGUGCUUCAGAGCUGGAUAAGGGUGGAAGAAAAUGGCACGCGACGCGGCGCUGUGGAGUCUUCUGACUUGCCGUCGAUUAUGCGUUGCUGCUGGGAAUGAUUUAGGCACGUAUGUCGCCGUAGCGUUGUUGCCGCUUGAUCUUGUUUGCCAGCUUGUUGCUACCACGGUGGUGGUCGUUUUGUUGCUGAUUAUUAGUGGCAGGGAUGACACUGCUAAUCAACAGGAGUGAGGUAGCGUCCUAGGACAAAAGGGUAGCUUUGAGGUCAUUUUAUUCGUGUGGUCUUGUUGAAAUUGUCUACCAACCAUGCCUUUUUAUAAAGGCACAGUGGCUAUCUAGGCACUAUGUAGCAUGCUUCUGCUCGCCUAGCAUCUUUGGCAACACUGUUCAUUGUACAGUCUUUACUGUAAGCGAAUGCUUAAUAAGAUAUUUAUAGCUGAUAUCCCGCCAUAUGCAGAUAUUUAGCUUGUAGACUUGUCGUUUGUAAUGUUCUUAAUUACGUUACAAGUGACUACAGAUUUACAGUUUCAUGUCAAACUAUAUAAGUUUGAAUUGUUUUAUCUAUUGGAAUAAGUAUAUAUACCCUUUUAAUUCAGUGACUUCUUUGAGUUUCUGAAGGUCGUUUCCUACGAUCUGCAGUCUAUUUUAACAAGUAUCUUUAGUUCUUGACAUCUACAAAAAACUGUGACUAUGCAGGUUAGUAUAUGUAAGAAACGAAUUGAUGGAAGCCAUAAUGUGGGAUUACAAUCCAGAAUAAUGGAUGCAGGUAACUAAAGCUCCCGGCUGCUGCUAUCUUUGCAGAAUUAUGAUUUGACGACUAUGAAAAUGCCUUUGAAACACUGUAGUGUUACUUAUGCUUGUAACAUCACACUGUUGCAGAAAUAGAUGGAGGUACGCGUAUCCAUGCUGAUUCCAUGGAAGUGCAUGUGGGUCUUCAGAAACAACAAAAUCAAGCUUCAAAUCUGCAGGUUCCUGCUAGUGUACUAGCUUUGCCGAUUCAGUCAAAAUCAAAGAGUAUUAAGAGAGGGGUUAAUUUUCAGGAUCGGGAGAGAACAAAGGCUACCCAGUUUAUUGAUGAUGAGCAUAGGAGCGAUAAUCAAGGUCAAGGGGUUAGUGCAGGUUUGACUGCUCAAAGAAGUUCAGCCAAGUCAAUCUCUGAUUCAGGCUCUGACCUUCUAAAUUCCCUGACGAAAAGUCAGAUGCACACAAUACCUGAGCAAAACUCAGCUUUAGGUGUUCAGAAAGUUUGCACAGCCUCUUCUGGUCCUACAUCUCCCCAUGUUGAGAUACCACA